rnacentral:rRNA from 1 species
GACAAACGCUGGCGGCGUGUAUUAGGCAUGCAAGUCGCACGGACCUUCGGGUCAGUGGCGGACGGGUGAGUAACACGUGGGUAACCUGCCCUUUAGUGGGGAAUAACUCGCCGAAAGGCGAGCUAAUACCGCAUUCGACUUCCAGUGAGAGACUGGAUAGUGAAAGCAGCAAUGCGCUGAAGGAGGGGCCCGCGGCCGAUUAGCUUGUUGGUGGGGUAAAGGCCUACCAAGGCGACGAUCGGUAGCUGGU